GUUUUCGUAAUUGGCAACAUUGGUGUACUUCAGUCAGUUUGCUAGAAGUCAGUUUGAUUGCUUCGCGACUAUCGUUUCUUUAGAGAUUUUCUAUGCGUUUCAUGGUUUUAUUCUAACAACUUUGGCUUGACUCCGAUUAGAUUGCGUACUUGGUAGACUCGGCUGUGUGUAAAGGACUGGAUUUUCCUGGAAUUUUCGGAUAUUGCUCUGUCUGUGAUCGAAUUUAGUUGUAUUAUAAUUACAACAAUGGAUGCAGAAUAUAGUUUAUAUUGUGUAAAUUGUGGAUCUGCUGAAGGUUCUUUGGUAUUAGAAAACGAAGAUAUACUUCGUUGCAUACAACAAUGGACUGUUCCCCGUAUGGUUGAAGCUCAUGACCUUAUAUGUACGACGUGUUGGUCUGAAGCAGUCGAGCAUAAUAAGAUGCAAUGCACUGUUGGACGCAAUUGUGUACUUUGUAAGAAGCUCCUACCAUCAGGCUGUUGUGCCCACAUAAUGACUAUUAUCUGGUACUUAAGCUGGGCGAGAUACCAAAAUUCAAUUGAACCCCCUGCUCAGUUCUUAGAUAA
rnacentral:lncRNA from 1 species